rnacentral:rRNA from 1 species
AUUAGCAACCAUAUUACCCUGCAACUCACAACUGACAAACCAUUGAAGCUAAGCAGAUGUGAGCCUAGUCAGUAUCUUGAUGGGACACCUCCUGGGAAAAACUAAGGUUGCUACUG